GCUAGCAAGCGUGACAGGACGUGUGCUUUAAUAAGAUUACGGCACAGCUGUGUCACCAUGUAGAGCGAUGGCGCGUGAGUUCUGGUUCCUGUAAAGCGCUGUGCUGUGCCACCAUGCAGAGCGAUGGCGCGUGAGUUCUGGUUCCUGUAGAGCGCUGUGCAUACCUGACGGUCAGGCUGACCUCAGUUUUCGCCCGAGGUCGGGUAGAGUAAGCAAAUGUGGGUUUUUUUACUUCACAUCUAUGACCCUUGAGGUUCUGAGGCUUGAUGUCGUUGAGUUUCCAUGAUUGUUUCCUGGAAAAAAAAGACUACAUUUCCCAGCUUCCCUUGCAGCCAGGCAAAGUGACUCUGGAAUGGAGGGAUAACGAGAGUGCACACACACACACACACACACGUACACACGCACCUUGUAGUCAUUUCCACUCCUAUACAGGCUCACAGACAUCUUUUUCCUGCAGGCGUUCUCUCAUCUACCCACGUGAAUGGGACUAGGUGCCGUUGCCAAUAACAAACGGGGUCCGGUUUAUGCAGGGGUCCUUAUGCCCGGAGGAGCAGUCUGACUCUCGAGAAGUUCCCCCAAGUCAGGCCCCACCCAGACGUGCAGAGAUCUGCAAAGGCACGUUCCUCUGGCCUGGAUCUCCAGCUACAGAGCACGCACGCAGCUUUGGAUCUGUGAAGACAGAAACCUCUCUUGUUUGGAGCCCUUGAUCCUCCAACAGGAGGGUGGAGCCCACGGUGACACUGUGGGCCUGAAACCCAGGGCCUUGGACAUGAUACGCAAUUGUUUUACCACUGAACCAUGCUCCCAAUCCCUCACUGGCGGAUUCUAGGAAUGUGUUGGAGCCUCUUCACCCCCACCACAGAUGAGGAUGAGGGUGUCACCAAUU